rnacentral:rRNA from 1 species
UUUCGGGGCAUCGACCGUCUCGGGGCUCAGCUAACGCGUUAAGUGUGCCGCCUGAGGACUACGGCCGCAAGGCUAAAACUCAAAGGAAUUGACGGGGGCCCGCACAAGCGGUGGAACAUGUGGCUUAAUUCGAUGCAACGCGAAGAACCUUACCUGGUCUUGACAUGUAUUGGAAGUUUUCCAGAGAUGGAUUACGCUCUUCGGAGCCGAUACACAGGUGCUGCAUGGCUGUCGUCAGCUCGUGUCGUGAGGUGUUUGGUUAAGUCCAGCAACGGGCGCAACCCUCGUCCUUAGUUGCCAGCACGUAAUGGUGGGGACUCUAAGGAGACAAACCUCUUGUAGAGGUGGGAAGGUGGGGAUGACGUCAAGUCAGUAUGGCCCUUACGGCCAGGGCUGCACACGUGUUACAAUGCCCGGUACAGAGGGAAGCAAUACCGCGAGGUGGAGCUAAUCCUUAAAGCCGGGCCCAGUUCGGAUUGGAGUCUGCAACUCGACUCCAUGAAGCCGGAAUCGCUAGUAAUGGCGUAUCAGCUACGACGCCGUGAAUACGUUCCCGGGCCUUGUACACACCGCCCGUCACAUCAUGAAAGCCGGUUCUGCCCGAAGUAUGUGCGCUAACCCCUCGGGAAAGCAGCGUCCUAAGGUAGGGCUGGUGAUUGGGAUGAAGUCGUAACAAGGUAGCCG